CGGGAGGCAUCCGUUGAGAUAGGGUCAUAGGAGUCUGCAACGCUCACGUUCUGCGGUCUUCCCUCUGCCUGGGAGGCAUCGCUGGACCUCCGGCUGGAGAAGCAAGGUGAGAUUCCAGAGGACCUGCGGCUGCUCAGCUUUAGAAAACAAAAGCAGAGAAAACUACACCUGGACUUUCAGAGUCUUUUUUCCACUAGGAGCUACCCGACUCAUCCUCCCAGACUCUCGGAGAAAUCAUUCCACACUGCCGUACUUCUGUCAUUGUGCCACUAGAUGGCUGCAUUACUCAGCGAAUGACAUUAUUCCCACUAAGAUGAGCUGCUUAAUUGCUUUUUGCAGAGUGGUCAUAUUUUAGCAGACCGACAAACAUGUCCAAAUACUGAAAGACUGGUCUGGAGGAGUCUUCCUAGAAAAUCAGCACCAGCAGUGUUCUCAGAGGACUGUGGCUUUUUCAACAACUGUAGUGGUUUAACACUAACCAACAACUACCUACCAUGUUCAUUCUCACCAGCCCCUGCCAGCAAGGAUGGGGUGAAUUGGAAAAAGGCUCCAUUUCUCUCUCCAACCACCUGCCCAAUCUGUGACUUGCCCCAGAACAGGCUAAUUGCAUUUUCAUGAAGAGGCUGCAGAAGGAACUGAUAGUGGAAACCAGAAGCCAAAUGCUCAAGUCAAUUGCUCUCAAACAGGGACGUUUUGGUUAAAUCUCUGCUCUCCAAGGAGCAGCCCUGCUCUUCUGAGAACUACUGAACCAAGGAAAGAUGCAAGAGGGUUACGUGAGGAUGACAAAUUCUUGGAGCACUGAGAUGAAGGAGCCUAUAGGGCAUAAGUUCCCCUGCAGUGCUCCUGGAAGAGUAAAAGGGGCCAACCACAAGCUGAGCACUCCUGCUGUUUCUCCCAACACCUUCUCCUACCUGCCUACUGUCUGCAGUGCUUCCUGGCUCUCCUGGCUGCCCUCCCAGCUGCCUCCAUGGCAGCGAUCCCUGCACAGCUCCUGCAGGUUGUGUUACACACCACUGCAAGGGUGCUGGAAAAUUUUCCUCGAACUUCCACUUGCUUCAAGAUUUUCCUGUUGUAGACUGUGUGUUUGAACACACAGGCUGAGAGCUGCUCUGAGCAUCUGAACUGCUGUGCUAACUGCACAAAAGCCUUUUGCUGUAUGCUUUUUUCCUUUUUAAAAGGCAACAUCACAGGAAGAACUCCAUUAUAACUUUCAACUUCACCAAGACUUCAGCAAUGCACAGAAUUCACUUUUACAAAACUUAGUUUAUAUAUAUAUAUAUAUAUAUAUAUAUAUAUAUAUAUAUACACACAUAUAUAUAUAUAUAUGUAGGUAUUUGUCUCACUUCUAUCUUGCUUUUUUAAUGCUCUUCACAUUUAGGUCCCCCAGUUACACCUAUGCAUUACACCUUCUAUGUAAAAGUCAUAUGAUAAAAAUAUAGGGUUAUUUGGCACCUGCAGUGUAACAAGAACCCCAAAACAGACUACCAAAGAGAAAAGCACAGGGAGAAAAAAGACAGGUGAAGUGUGUACCAGUGAUUGAGAAUUCAAAUUUGGCUUGAAAGACCAGGAUGAAAGAAGAAAGUUGACAAAGGCCAUUUGCUGAAGGAUUUAAGACCCACUGCUGACUACCUGAUGAAACUGUGAUGUUGAUCUUAAUGGUGUAAUAGCAAAUGAAGGUGGUCUUCUCCCAAAUCCUAUACCUGAGCCCUGCACUGAUGAUCUUCAACCUGUUCUGCCUGCUUUCCUCUCAUUCUUCUCCAUCACACAUGCAUCCAAGCUCUUCCCACAGGCUUUCUGAGAGGUGGCUACAGGCAGGAAUUCUACAGCUUGAGCUGCAGGAAGGGCUCCUGCCUUCAGCAAACAGCUCUACAGCAUGAUUUUGAGGAGGUGCAAUGCCUGUUCAAGUCAUAAGCUCACAAGAGAGGAAAUUCACAUUGCAAAGCUCCAUAUUCCCUCAGAUGCAUUAGACAUUCCUCUCUCAAUUAGCCAAAGCAGUAGUGCACCAACAAGGGAGUUUUCCUACAGCUGGACGGGAAAGAGGGUAAAGACUGGCCAAACAUCUGCUUCACUGGUUCUAAGACUGCCAGUGAAUGCUGCCUAGAAAAUGAUACCUUCUAGGAGUGGCUGAAUAUGGAAGGAGAGAAAACCACCUGAGGCUGAACUUCAGAAUUUUCUGCUUCAUGAUCUUUGCAUUUAAGGAUAAAAAUUGAUUUGACAUGCAACUGCUGGAGAAUUUCAGGAAAACCAUGUUAAAAAUCUCCCUCACAGGCAGUACCGAAGGUGAGCAAUGGCUUACUCUUCUUUACAAAUCUGAACUCAUGUACAUCUGUGUACAAUUUAACAAAAACAUACAGGACUUACCUUAAAAAAAAGAAAUUGAAAAACUUGAACAGCUUGACACUUAGCACUGCUACAGAUGUUAGUAUCACACACUUAAAAGCAUGUAUUUCUGGAUUUUUCUCUCUGGCAAAGACAGACCACAGAGGACUUCUGCCAGCACUCGAGAAGGAAGUAAUCAUAAAGAGGCAUUACAAUAAGGUAUUUCAUCUUAUUUGCAAAUAGUACAAAGAAUGAAAAUACCGUUCCUGAUUUUGACAGAAGCACACUAGCACACACGAGGCAGAACUAAAUACUUUGGAUGUUUUCCCACAUUUCUGCAGAAGACAAAAAACUAUAGGCCUCCUUCCUGCCACCAUAACUCAUCUGACUUCAAUGGAAAUCAGACCUGCUGUAUAUAUUAAACCUGAAAUUAACUAUUCUCCCUUCAUAUUGUUUGGCUUUGAUAAAUUCCAGCCAUUGCUCCUGGCCAAGAUGCACAGAUCCUGGUUCAGCGAGCUGCUCUGCUGACAUGAGCUCUUAUGGCAGCCUGGAGCCCAUUAAAAUCAACUGGGUCCAACACACUGAGCUCUCUGCAGGAGUGGGGCUUUAGCAACUCCUACAGUUAGUUACUGAGCUCUGGGUUCAAACCACGCUAAAAGUAUAUUUCUCCUUUAACACAGGGCAUGUUCACAAGAAAAUAAAAUUGGAAGAGGUUCCUAAUCUUUACAUUCCACAGCACAGACCAGAGUAGCAGAGCCAAGAAAUAAAAACUUAAGAGUAAAGAUGCUUAGAGAAGAAAAAAAAAACUGGAUGAAAGAAAGUACCCAGCAAAAUAUCCCAGCAACUGGUGCACCAAAUGAACAUAUAAAGACAGAGCUGUUUUAUAAAAAUUGUAAAGCUUUAAUGGCAAAAAUCUGUUAAAAUUUACACUGCCUUUCAGUGUAUGUGUUUGGAAAUACACUGGAACUAGUUUAGAAUCAACAGGCUCUUUGAAUUAAAAUGUAAUUAUAUAGUACAGCAGCUUUAUACAAUUUUAUAUUAGCAGAGACAAACUGCUUAAUGCCAUGAACAGCUUAGAAACCUAUGAAAGGCUAUAUCAAGAGAAAAUUAGGGGAAGCUAAAAAGUACCAUUUUAACAAGAUUUUGAAUUCUUCCAAACUCCAGGAGUCAUCUAUCUAUGUGGAAAGAUUAGCAAAAUAUUUGAUACCUUACAAAAAAGUUAAGUCACUGCCUGUUCUACUGAAAAUCCUUUCUUCCUGAAGGGGAUAAAUAGCAAGGUAAAUGCCAGAUACUUAAAUGGGAUCUGCUUUUCAAGGUGCAUUAAGCAUAUGGGCACUAGCACUAAGCAUGUAUAUAGGACUUGCUGAAAAACAUGCACCUCCUUUGGUUUAACCUUGGACCAGAUUUUGUAAAAUCAUGCACUUUCUUCUACUUUUAGUAUUUAUUAGUAAUUACAGCACAGCUAAUACUGACCCACUUAAAAUGAAAGAAAAUAUAUUCCUCAUCAGGAUCUUCCUGUGUAAAUCAAUCAGUAAUUCUUUUGAAUUUUUUGUAAAGAGAGCCCUUGUGCUUACCACAUGGACACAAACAAAUUGUUCAUAUGAUUAAAAUACCAAUGCUUUGUCUGCAGAAAGAGACUAUUGAAUAACAGCUUUUUUUUUUCCAAUAAAUGCACUUAAGUGUCUCCUUAUACAUAAACUAUGAAAGCUGCAGUUCAGAUUAGAGAUAAUGCCUGAUCCACAUUUAGCAACGAAUGACACUAGAAACCUCUACAAAAACUGGAAAUACAGUGACUUGAAAACACAUACCACUUUUCACAAAAACUAAUAUAAAAAUGCUGGCAGUGAUAAGCAAUGCCAAAAUCUUUAGAGGCAAUAUAUGUUUUAAGAUAUAUUUAAUCACAGAGGAGAUCCGGUAGAAUUAAUCCAGCUUCAGUAGCUGACAGCAGAAGUGUCUUAAAGCCAUGACAUCACAACUGGACUGGCAGAAGCAAUUGGGGCUUUUCCUCCUUACACCUCCAAGAAACAUGUCUAACAAGCUUCAGCACAUGCAGCAGUUUAUUGCUGCUCUAAGAACUCCCUUGGGUUUUUUUACUGGACACCCACUUAGACUUUCCCUUUUGCAUCCAUGCUAGGCUUUAUCAUCCCUGUCUUAUCCUAGCAAAUUCAGGGCUAGCAAAGGUCUCUGUCCCAUUUUAGAAGUUAGUCACACUUGAUGUUUCAGGCAGCAGUAGCAGAGUUACCAUAUUUUAUCUUUUUUUUUUUUUUGCCAUGAGAUAACAUUUUUCUAUCCUCUCAUAUGUGCUGUAAACAGUGCUGCACUGUAUCUAAAGAUGUAUGUUUGAGCUGUUGCAAAGAAAACUGUGCAGGAUUUCUUAGCAGAACAUGGGAGUAUCACCUAAAAGACUUUAAAAAGAGCCAAGGCCAUUUUUUUUCUGCCCCUGCAUUCCACACACUAACUUUAAUUGACUUCCAGUGAACUUACAAGGGCCUUUAGUAACUAAAAAUCAAUCCUAAAUAGUCUGGUUUAUCUCAAAGAUUCCUAGCUUUUCCUAUACACCACUGUGGCACCAUCUGAAUGGGACAGACUUGUGCUGGCAGUCAACCACAGAAAUCUGCAGCAGCAAACCAAAGGAUAGUCCCAUAUCUCUGUAACUCUUCCUUGCCAAAACACUUUUCAGAACUGGAGCUUGGUGCUUUCAGAAUGUUACAUAAAACACACUUCUUUGUUCAGGCUUUUUUUACUAACCGUAAGUGUUGGAAUCCCCUUGGCAAUUAAUUUCCUGGCUGGUAAUCCCUUGGCUCUGAUCCAUGCAGAGACAGUGGCUGCCCUGGAGGGAGUUGUGCAAGGCACAUGCUCUGACUUUGCAAAAUGAAGUGGUCUCUUGAUUUAAAUGACAGUGGCCAAGCCUGAAAAUUUUGUACUUGCCCUGCAUAACGGAGUAAGAUAAGCUCACUGUUAAACACUCUUUAAAGCAGAAUAUAAUAUGGCAAAUGGUCAAAUACUGCAGGCAGGAUUUUCUUGGUUAUCUGAGGUAAUAUUACAUGUAAUACAGGCACAAUAAAUAAAUGUAAACACUACCCCAAUGGUAGUGAGAGAGGAAUUGUGCAAUGCAUUGUUCAAUAACUAGCACAGAUAAUGGUUUAAAGGAUACAGCCUUUACUUUAAGGAAACUUAAAUUGACAACAACAAAAAAACCACUGCAUAUCCACAG